rnacentral:rRNA from 1 species
UACAGAGGUGGCAAGCGUUGUUCGGAAUUACUGGGCGUAAAGGGCGCGUAGGCGGCCUGCUAAGUCGAACGUGAAAUCCCUGGGCUCAACCCAGGAACUGCGUCCGAUACUGGUUGGCUUGAAUCCGGGAGAGGGAUGUGGAAUUCCAGGUGUAGCGGUGAAAUGCGUAGAUAUCUGGAGGAACACCGGUGGCGAAGGCGACAUCCUGGACCGGUAUUGACGCUGAGGCGCGAAAGCCAGGGGAGCAAACGGG